UUCUUUUGAUAUUUCAAAUUUUCUUUCUAUCUACACCGAACAGUAAACGAGUUUUUUAAAUGGGAAAUCUUUUUUCUUCAGGUUAAAAUUGAACUGAUCCGGGAUAGUAGCCUGCCCUGCUGUAUCGUUGAGUCUGAUCCUGCCAGCUGCCACAUUUGAAUAAUGGAAUCCAAUUGAGUCCAGCCGAUCACUUUGUCUUGGGGUAAUCGAUGUUUAGUGACUAGCAUCCCCUGGCGAGGAAUGGUGACAACUUAUUGUCAACAAACAACGUUUUGAAAACUGACAUGCCCAUUAUGUGGGCCAAAAAAUGUAAAUUUGGAAGCAACUGCUGGUGCUGGACUGUUCAUUCAGGAGAAAGUCAAUUGUUUAGAGACCCAAGAAUGAAUGAAUUGUUUCGCUGCCUCAAACCAUAACCCACUAGUAAACUAAAUGGUGAAUUUUCAAUUUUGAUUCCUUAUUUGAAAAUGAGUUAAUUGAGUCCUCUGCUUGACUAAAUCCUAAUCACCUGACUGGGAAAUUUACCCAAUCUCACAUACAGUAGACUUGUGUAAAAAUAAAUUUAUGACUAACACUGCCCAAUGAUACCAGCAGCAGUUGCUACCAUUGAAUCUACGUCUAUGUCAGGAGCAGGUGAUGAAACAGGCAUUUGAAGGAGUGCAAUCUGGCCACCUAGCCGAAAGACUUUUCAACAGCAAACUCGUCAGCUGCAUGAGUAAACAACAGUUGGCUUUUCCUUAUACAUAGGAAAAUACAUCUAUUGGGAUCACGUGAGAAGUGGAAGCGUUUAGCCAACAUCGUCAGCCGCAUUGAACAGAACAAUCAUCUGGAGUUGUCGCAGACCCAACAGAUUUUGAAGCUCAAAGUGUCACCGGAUGUGAAUUGAUGAAUCGUUAAAUUCCAUCAACUUCUGC